rnacentral:misc_RNA from 1 species
GAUGAAGAACGUAGCGAAAUGCGAUACGUAAUGUGAAUUGCAGAAUUCAGUGAAUCAUCGAGUCUUUGAACGCACAUUGCGCCCCCUGGUAUUCCGAGGGGCAUGCCUGUUCGAGCGUCAUUAUAACCCUCAAGCUCAGCUUGGUGUUGGGGCCUGCUGCACUGGCAGCCCUUAAAAUCAGUGGCGGCGCCAUCUGGCUCUAAGCGUAGUAAUUCUUCUCGCUAUGGAGUCCUGGUGGACGCUUGCCAUCAACCCCCAAUUUUUCUAUGGUUGACCUCGGAUCAGGUAGGGAUACCCGCUGAACUUAAGCAUAUCAAUAAGCGGAGGA